rnacentral:rRNA from 1 species
UGGGUUUGACAUCCCGAUCGUACUCUAUGGAAACAUAGGGGUCAGUUCGGCUGGAUCGGUGACAGGUGCUGCAUGGCUGUCGUCAGCUCGUGUCGUGAGAUGUUGGGUUUAAGUCCCGCAACGAGCGCAACCCUUGUCCUUAGUUGCCACCAUUCAGUUUGGGCACUCUAAGGAGACUGCCGGUGUUAAACCGGAGGAAGGUGGGGAUGACGUCAAGUCCUCAUGGCCCUUAUAUCCAGGGCUACACACGUGCUACAAUGGCCGGUACAAAGGGUCGCAAUACCGCGAGGUGGAGCUAAUCCCAAAAAGCCGGUCUCAGUUCGGAUUGGAGUCUGCAACUCGACUCCAUGAGGUCGGAAUCGCUAGUAAUCGCGUAUCAGCGUGACGCGGUGAAUACGUUCCCGGGCCUU